GCACCCGUAGCUCAAUGGAUAGAGCAGCGGUCUUCGGAACCGAAGGUUGGGGGUUCGACUCCCUCCGGGUGUA
rnacentral:tRNA from 1 species